rnacentral:lncRNA from 1 species
GGUCAGUUGUCCCGGGUGCCUCCUGGAACUCCCACUCGUCAGAACUCCCGCCGGUCGGAGGGGGACUUAGGAGGCGGGUCGGGUCUGCAGCGCCGAGGGUCUGGGAAGGACAAGACCCGCCUGCUCCCGUCCAACGGCACCCAGUCGCAGCCUUAGCAACGGGUCGCUGGAGGAAGGAUCGCCUUGGCGACGGGGAUCGCCUUGGCGACGGGGCCCACAGAGAAAAACCACGGAGCCCCCCCUCUCCCCUCACCCCCCUCUUACAGAGAAAGACGGAGCGAUCGGCGAUCUGCAGCGGCCUGGCCGCGGACCGAGAUCGGGAGGUGACCCCUCCCCCCGAAUCAAGGACCCCACGGAAAUUCGGCGAUGGGGCGCUCUGACUCCCCGCCCCCAUCGCUGCUCGCUUGUGCAUCUGCAGGACACACUGGGGACCCCAUCCCCCGUCGUGGGGCGACUGCACUGUACUGCACCCCUCAAAGAGCAGGACGGCGCCAGAGACUGAAGACGGGAGAAAAGCCAAAUGAGCAGGGCCUGCUGACCUGCGCCCUCUGACCCCUGACCCCUGACCCCCAGCACCUCCAUGACUGAGGGGCGUCACACCCUGCCCCUGGAAGGCCGGGUGUCUUGGGGUCUGUCGUCAAUUAAGUCAUUAUUGCGUCAAUUGGGAUGAAUUCCUGCUCAAAGACAGGCCUGGAGACGAGGCGCCCCUUGCGCCCGGGCGAACGUCUCGCCUCUCUUCCCCGGGGGCGCGAGAGGAAGGCGCCAGCGUGGCGGCGCAGCGGAGCAGGAACUCGCGGGCCGCGGGGCACUUCCGGGCGUGACCACAGGGAGGCAGUGUCCUCCGCGGGGCUGCCGGGCUCGGGCUGUGGGCAGAGCGCCCCCGGUGGCCACUCUGUGAGUCCAGUCCAGGCCCCCCGUCCUGCCCCGCGGCCCCGCCAGCAGGACGUCAUCCAGCUCCCCUGGGCUCGGGGGCCCCCUGGCUGCGCCCCUUCCCUGACCCGGGCUUCUGCCCCCGCUCCGCGGUCUUCAG